rnacentral:rRNA from 1 species
UACAGAGGUCUCAAGCGUUGUUCGGAUUCAUUGGGCGUAAAGGGUGCGUAGGUGGCGCGCUAAGUCAGGUGUGAAAUUUCGGAGCUUAACUCCGAAACUGCAUUUGAUACUGGCGUGCUUGAGGACUGGAGAGGAGACUGGAAUUCAUGGUGUAGCAGUGAAAUGCGUAGAUAUCGUAAGGAAGACCAGUGGCGAAGGCGAGUCUCUGGACAGUUACCGACGCUGAGGCACGAAGGUCAGGGGAGCAAACGGG